UACGGGGGGGGUAAGCGUUGUUCGGAAUUACUGGGCGUAAAGGGCUCGUAGGCGGCCAACUAAGUCAUACGUGAAAUCCCUCAGCUUAACUGGGGAACUGCGUGUGAUACUGGAUGGCUUGGAUUUGGGAGAGGGAUGCGGAAUUCCAGGUGGUAGCGGUGAAAUGCGUAGAUAUCUGGAGGAACACCGGUGGCGAAGGCGGCAUCCUGGACCAAUAUUGACGCUGAGGAGCGAAAGCUAGGGGAGCAAACGGG
rnacentral:rRNA from 1 species